GCCAGAGCCAUAUCAACCUGCAGCCCAAGACUGGUUGCCCACUGAAGCUAAGCAGGGUUGAGCCUGGUCAGUACCUGGAUGGGAGACCUCCUGGGAAAACUAGGUUGCUGCUGGAA
rnacentral:rRNA from 1 species